AUUGAACGCUGGCGGCAUGCCUUACACAUGCAAGUCGAACGGUAACAGGUCUUCGGAUGCUGACGAGUGGCGAACGGGUGAGUAAUACAUCGGAACGUGCCUAGUAGUGGGGGAUAACUACUCGAAAGAGUGGCUAAUACCGCAUGAGAUCUACGGAUGAAAGCAGGGGAUCGCAAGACCUUGCGCUACUAGAGCGGCCGAUGGCAGAUUAGGUGGUUGGUGGGAUAAAAGCUUACCAAGCCGACGAUCUGUAGCUGGUCUGAGAGGACGAUCAGCCACACUGGGACUGAGACACGGCCCAGACUCCUACGGGAGGCAGCAGUGGGGAAUUUUGGACAAUGGGCGCAAGCCUGAUCCAGCAAUGCCGCGUGCAGGAUGAAGGCCUUCGGGUUGUAAACUGCUUUUGUACGGAACGAAAAGCCCCGGGUUAAUACCCUGGGGUCAUGACGGUACCGUAAGAAUAAGCACCGGCUAACUACGUGCCAGCCGCCGCAGUAA
rnacentral:rRNA from 1 species